GAUGAAGAACGUAGCGAAAUGCGAUAAGUAAUGUGAAUUGCAGAAUUCAGUGAAUCAUCGAAUCUUUGAACGCACAUUGCGCCCGCUAGUAUUCUGGCGGGCAUGCCUGUUCGAGCGUCAUUUCAACCAUCAAGCCCCAGGCUUGUGUUGGGGGCCUGCGGCUGCCGCAGCCCCUGAAAAGCAGUGGCGGGCUCGCUGUCAUUCCGAGCGCAGUAGUUACAUCUCGCUCCGGGCGUGGCGGUGGGCACCUGCCGUGAAACACUCCUUCUAAGGUUGACCUCGGAUCAGGUAGGAAUACCCGCUGAACUUAAGCAUAUCAAUAAGCGGAGUA
rnacentral:misc_RNA from 1 species